AAGUCGUAACAAGGUAACCGUAGGUGAACCUGCGGUUGGAUCAUUAAAAAUUGUUAAAGCGAGGGUAAAAUUAGUGGGGGUCUCCUCUACUAAGGUAAGACUACUGUAAUAAUUUAUGGUAUUACCACCCAAACUUUUCACCCCUUGUGCACUAAAAUUGUAUUUUGGGCGGUUGAGGUAAACUCUUCCGCCCAGCAGUGUUAAACACCAUUUGAAACUUGUCUGAAAUUAUUAUUUUAAAUAGUAACAACUUUUGACAACGGAUCUCUUGGCUCUC
rnacentral:misc_RNA from 1 species